rnacentral:tRNA from 1 species
GCGAGAGUGGCGGAAUGGCAGACGCACUAGACUUAGGAUCUAGCGGGUAACCGUGCGGGUUCAAAUCCCGCCUCUCGCACCA